CCUCAUCGCUCCUGGAUGCACCGGAUCUUGUCUGAUCUCGGAAGCUAAGCAGGGUCAGGCCUUGUUAGUACUUGAUGGGGAAGUUCAUUGUUUUAAAGAAAGCUUCCAUGAAGU
rnacentral:rRNA from 1 species